CCGAGCUGUACAAGCAGGCCCAGCACAUCCUCAAGGAACAGGUGCCGAUCACCCCGAUCGCCCACUCCACCGUGUACCAGCCGAUGCGCAAGACGGUACAC
rnacentral:sRNA from 1 species